CGAGCGCAGGCAGCGGGAGACGGUCCAGGCCGCCCUCCAGGUCGGUGAGACCUGCAAACAGAGACAGAGCUUUGCGCAGGACCUUCGGCCGGCAGCCCCCCGGCAGCCCCCGGAAGCUCUCCGAACACAAAUUCAG